rnacentral:rRNA from 2 species
GUGGCGAACUGGUGAUUAACACGUGGGACAUCUGCCCAAAAGCAGGGGAUAACACUUGGAAACAGGUGCUAAUACCGUAUAACAACAAAAUCCGCAUGGAUUUUGUUUGAAAGGUGGCUUCGGCUAUCACUUCUGGAUGAUCCCGCGGCGUAUUAGUUAGUUGGUGAGGUAAAGGCCCACCAAGACGAUGAUACGUAGCCGACCUGAGAGGGUAAUCGGCCACAUUGGGACUGAGACACGGCCCAAACUCCUACGGGAGGCAGCAGUAGGGAAUCUUCCACAAUGGACGAAAGUCUGAUGGAGCAAUGCCGCGUGAGUGAAGAAGGGUUUCGGCUCGUAAAACUCUGUUGUUAAAGAAGAACACCUUUGAGAGUAACUGUUCAAGGGUUGACGGUAUUUAACCAGAAAGCCACGGCUAACUACGUGCCAGCAGCCGCGGUAAUACGUAGGUGGCAAGCGUUGUCCGGAUUUAUUGGGCGUAAAGCGAGCGCAGGCGGUUUUUUAAGUCUGAUGUGAAAGCCUUCGGCUUAACCGGAGAAGUGCAUCGGAAACUGGGAGACUUGAGUGCAGAAGAGGACAGUGGAACUCCAUGUGUAGCGGUGGAAUGCGUAGAUAUAUGGAAGAACACCAGUGGCGAAGGCGGCUGUCUAGUCUGUAACUGACGCUGAGGCUCGAAAGCAUGGGUAGCGAACAGGAUUAGAUACCCUGGUAGUCCAUGCCGUAAACGAUGAGUGCUAAGUGUUGGAGGGUUUCCGCCCUUCAGUGCUGCAGCUAACGCAUUAAGCACUCCGCCUGGGGAGUACGACCGCAAGGUUGAAACUCAAAGGAAUUGACGGGGGCCCGCACAAGCGGUGGAGCAUGUGGUUUAAUUCGAAGCUACGCGAAGAACCUUACCAGGUCUUGACAUCUUCUGCCAAUCUUAGAGAUAAGACGUUCCCUUCGGGGACAGAAUGACAGGUGGUGCAUGGUUGUCGUCAGCUCGUGUCGUGAGAUGUUGGGUUAAGUCCCGCAACGAGCGCAACCCUUAUUAUCAGUUGCCAGCAUUCAGUUGGGCACUCUGGUGAGACUGCCGGUGACAAACCGGAGGAAGGUGGGGAUGACGUCAAAUCAUCAUGCCCCUUAUGACCUGGGCUACACACGUGCUACAAUGGACGGUACAACGAGUCGCGAAGUCGUGAGGCUAAGCUAAUCUCUUAAAGCCGUUCUCAGUUCGGAUUGUAGGCUGCAACUCGCCUACAUGAAGUUGGAAUCGC